rnacentral:lncRNA from 1 species
CUUUAUUGUUGUCCAUGUAUGUUGAUAUACUUAUUCCAUGAUAAUUCUAUGUUUAUCCUUUUGUGUGAUGUAAAUUAAAUGUUGAAUGGCGGUUCAUGCAGGGAAAGAACAUAUCAAUAUUCGCAUAUUCAUCCAAAAACAUGAAAAUUCUUAAUGGAGUACCCUCAUUUUUUAUUGAAUUCCUAAAAAACAAUAUUUAUAAUGAAUUUUAAUAAUUUUUUCGGAUUUUUUUGAAGCUUUAUUCUGACCGAUUCACCCGAUUCCGAUCCGGACCGCCGAUUCG